rnacentral:rRNA from 1 species
CCUACGGGAGGCAGCAGUAGGGAAUAUUGCUCAAUGGGGGAAACCCUGAAGCAGCAACGCCGCGUGGAGGAUGAAGGUUUUCGGAUUUUAAACUCCUUUUUUUAGAGAAGAUAAUGACGGUAUCUAACGAAUAAGCACCGGCUAACUCCGUGCCAGCAGCCGCGGUAAUACGGAGGCUGCCAGCGUUACUCGGAAUCACUGGGCGUAAAGAGCGCGUAGGCGGGAUAGCAAGUCAGAUGUGAAAUCCUAUGGCUUAACCAUAGAAUUGCAUUUGAAACUGUUAUUCUAGAGUAUGGGAGAGGUAGGUGGAAUUCGUGGUGUAGGGGUAAAAUCCGUAGAGAUCAAGAGGAAUACUCAUUGCGAAGGCGACCUGCUAGAACAUAACUGACGCUGAUGCGCGAAAGCGUGGGGAGCAAACAGGAUUAGAUACCCGAGUAGUC